UACGAGGACCCCGAGCGUUAUCCGGAAUUACUGGGCGUAAAGAGCGAGUAGUCGGUUUUGCUAGUCGAAUGUUAAAUCUCCCGGCUUAACUGGGAAACCGCAUUCGAAACGGCAUCACUAGAGUCGGCGAGAGGCAUGCGGGACGUGCGGUGUAGGGGUGAAAUCCAUUGAUAUCGCACGGAACACCAAAAGCGAAGGCAGCAUGCUAGUACCGUACUGACGAUAAAUUGCUAAAGCGUGGGGAUCAAAAAGG
rnacentral:rRNA from 1 species